AACUCCGGGAAACUGGAGCUAAUACCGGAUACCUUACCUUUCCCAUAAGGCAUCGGCAAGAAAGGUUGACUUGUCUUCCGCUUCGGGAUGAGCCCGCGGCCCAUUAGCUUGUUGGCGGGGUAAUGGCCCACCAAGGCGACGAUGGGUAGCCGGCCUGAGAGGGUGUACGGCCACACUGGGACUGAGACACGGCCCAGACUCCUACGGGAGGCAGCAGUGAGGAAUUUUGCGCAAUGGGCGUAAGCCUGACGCAGCGACGCCGCGUGGACGAUGAAGGCCUUCGGGUUGUAAAGUCCUGUCAGGAGGGACGAAGCGGUUCAUCCCGUGACGGUACCUCCAGAGGAAGCCCCGGCUAACUACGUGCCAGCAGCCGCGGUAAGACGUAGGGGGCAAGCGUUGUCCGGAGUUACUGGGCGUAAAGAGCUCGUAGGCGGCUUUUUAAGUCGGGUGUGAAAGCCCUCGGCUCAACCGAGGAAUUGCAUUCGAUACUGGAAAGGCUAGAGUCAGGUAGAGGAAAGCGGGAUUUCCCGGUGUAGCGGUGAAAUGCGCAGAUAUCGGGAAGAACACCGGUGGCGAAGGCGGCUUUCUGGGCCUUGACUGACGCUGAGAGCGAAAGCUAGGGGAGCAAACAGGAUUAGAUACCCUGGUAGUCCUAGCUGUAAACGAUG
rnacentral:rRNA from 1 species